GGGGGGAGCAGAAUCUUAAAUGUCCCGCCUACCCGGUACCGGCAACUUGAUGACCAGAGCUCAUUGUUGGUGUUCUGUCGUCGGUUUGGAAAAUGUCUAAACAAAACUCCAAAAGCCACAAGGCUAUGGAUGAUAACGAGUGGUUCUCUAGACUGAGGUCUUUUGCCUCCACUGGUGUCUGGCCAUCAGAUGCAGGUAACCGACCUGCCACAAGGCAACAGAAGUGGUACACUCUGUAUCAGAAGAUAGAGAAGUGCCCACUACUGCUGAGAGGCCACCAGAUACUUUUCUCCCAGCCACAAGGGUGUUUGUGUGGGUUUCAUCUUCCUAAGGUAAGCCAAAUUUUGGCCUUUUUUAACUACAGUUGAUGCAGUAUGCAUACAGUGUAAAGAUGCAUUUCUUUCUCAUAAUGUAUUCUUGGAGUAUUUGUUGUUUAUUUCUGGGCUGGUUGGGCAACAGGUCUGUUCCACAGCAGAGGAAAAAGAUUAGCAGGUAAAAGAAGGUCAUAAGGUUUAAACUAACUUCAUCACUAAUAUAAUAAAAAACACAACAAAAAACCUCUUAAUCGGUCACAUCAUUUGCAUGAAAUGGGUUCUUAUUGAUUCUUCAUUUUGAAUGAAGUGUGUGAGUGGUUGUUGGUGAUUGGAGGGUCCAUUGGCGCAUGCUUUUGCAACUGUGUUUCUGUCACUCCACCUCUAAGGACAACUGUGGCUACAUGCUGACAACCACCACUGAGUGAAUGAAUAAAAUCCCCUCACCCUGGUGAAGCACUUUGGGAUGUCUUGUGAAAAGCACUGUACAGAAGAGAUCCCCUUCCCUGCUUUCCUUAGUUAUAGUAUUAACAUAGUAUUGAGCAGUAGUAUUCUGCUACCUUUAAAUCACUGAUCAUUUUGACUAUUAUCUCUCUCUUUCUCAAAAGUUUUGGGAAUGCUCCUGUUUAUAUACAUUGUUCUAAACAUAUGUACUGCAACACUGUGUUUUAUCAAGAGCAGGGUCAAUGCAGCUAGCUAUCAGGAGAUUUUGGAGCACU